GGAAGCGCGAUGGGAUCCACGAUCCAGGAGCCCACCAUGGUCUUGCUCACUCCUUGCUGCUUCCCCACCUCUGCCCCAGCUGCAGAACCCCCUGCCCUCCCGGUCCCUGCUGGAAAAGGCGGAAUGCUGAGCUGAGCUGGAUGCUGAUCCCCUCUCCAGAAAGCAGAGCUGUGUGCCAUUCGUGAUUUUGGAGGUUUUAUUAAGCAAACUCUUUACAAAGUCAUCCUGUACAGAGUGACCUCGCAGUCCUGAUUUAAAAACGAGCUGAGGGACGCCCCUGCCCCGCGGAGCCGGGUGGGAACGGGGCUGGGCUGCUCCUUUCCCCCAUAAAUAAAAGAGCUUAUUCUGUUCCUGCCUCCCGCUAUUUACAGGGGUUCCUGUGCUGGGAUUCCACGAGUGCCAGCAGGGAACCGAUACCAGGAGGCUGAGCUGAAAUGUAGCGUGGGCCUGAACAGCAACGACCACGUGGAAAAGGGAUUUGUUCUCAUUCCUCAUCUUCAAGUACACUUUGGGAAAUUCAUUUGCCUGCUCCAACGGCAGCUGCACGAAAAACCUUCAAACCGCUCCAAUAAUUUACCUGUACCGUUUAAAAAGAACUUUCCUAUGUGAGACUGGACGGCAGGGAAUGAAUCCCCUGAGGGUUUGCAUUUCCCACCUUUAAAUAAGAUUUAUGUACAGAGCUAAACCCGACUUUCCCCCACCCCCAGCAGGGACUGGGAUGGAUGGUGGGGACCCACUGGGAUUGUUGGGAUCCACUGGGUUGGGUGGUGGGGAUCCAUUGGGAUGGUGGGGAUGUCCCCCACAGGACCGGGGUGCCCAAACUGGUGCCACAGGGCCUGGGGAGGAGCCGUGUCCUGGUGGCUUCACUUUGUCACCUGCAACACAGAGCCGUGGCCCAGGUCAGUGCCCGGCACCCUCUGGGCAGUGCCCGGCACCCUCUGGGCAGUGCCCCCAGGGCCAGGCCUGGAGCUUUUCCCGUUUUCCAGGCGUGGCUCUGCUGGAUCCAGCUGCAGGAAUCCCAGGGCUGGCUGGCAGAUCCCACAGCCGGCACUUUGGGACAGCCCUGCCCUGCUGUGGGAUCCCAGCUCCCUGCCGGCCACCCCGCAGCCAGCCCUGAGCUGCUCCCGGCGUUCUGGGAUCAAUCCCAGGCUUUCCCCUCUUACCAGUAGCUUCUUCUGAAGGGAGCGGCCACUUGCUGCACUGUCGCGAGGAAGGUGGAGAUGUCAGCCACCAGAAUUCCUUUGCUUUCCAGCAUCUCCCUGCAGCUGCUGCUGGGGUUUUCUGCAAGGGGAGGAGCAGCAGCUCCGUUAAUUCCAACAAAGGAAGCUGUUCCUAAACCUGUGGGAAAUAUCCCUAAACCCCACCGUGGCCGCUCUGCUGCUCUGCCAGCACCCUCAGCCACCCACGGCUCCAAAAACCGCCAAACACCCCAAAUUCCCUUUCAGCAGCCACAGCUGCAAGAAGCAAUUCCCACAGCAGCAGAACAGGGAUUUUUCACCCCUCCCAGCCCUCUCCAGGCCCUGUCAGAGCGCAGGGCGGGGAUGCCCCACCUGUGAGGAACACGGCGAAGCGGGCGCGGACGUGCUGCGCCUGCAGCCCCAGCAGGCACUGGGCGCGCCGGGGCUCGGCCGCCGCGUCGCAGCCGUGGAAGGGCAGCAGCUCCAGCAGCUCUGCCCCCUGGCACCACCUCAGCAGCUGCUGCUUCCUCUGCGCGCUGCCAUCGGCCCUGCUGAGAGAGGGGCACGGCUCAGGGAGUGAGCAGGCAGGGUGGGAUUCGCCUUUCCAGGAGGAUUUUCCAGCCCCACCGGUGAUUUCUGGAUCCAAAGUGGAAAAUUCCCGCCUGCCCCAGCGCUGCCUGUGCUGCUUUGGCCUGGGGUUGGUUCGUUUUUGUCUCAGGGGCUGAUGUGGGGUUUGUGCUGGGAGCUGUGGUGGGUCAGGGGGGUUCUGCUGCUGCUGGAGCCGGGUUUGGAGAGCCAAGGCUGCUCUCACUCACCCACGGCCUGCGGGCACGAGGGCAGGACAGGCUGUGCCACUGUGAGUGCCACUGCCCCAGGGGUGUUCCAGAGCCUGGACAGGCUCAGGAUACAAAGCUGGGAGGAGGAGAAGGAAGAGGGGAUGUUGGGAGAGGUGGUGAGGAUGGAGCCUGCUCUCCUGGGGAUGGCCUGGGAU
rnacentral:lncRNA from 1 species